GGCUCUGUGGCUCAACAGGAUAGAGCAGCCCCCUCCUAAGGGGCAGGUUGGUGGUUCGAAUCCACCCAGAGUCACCA
rnacentral:tRNA from 1 species